rnacentral:lncRNA from 1 species
UGAUAAAUAAUAGGCCAUAAAAAAAGAGAUGCAGUUGCAGAUUUAGUGGACUAACCACUAAUUAAUAAAGAAUCAUGCAAGCAAUAACUACUGAAAUAAAUAAAAAGGAUGCAAAUUUAGUGGACUAACCACUAAUUAAUAAAGAAUCAUGCAAGCAAUAACUACUGAAAUAAAUAAAAAGGAUGCAAAUUUAGUGGACUAACCACUAAUAAAGAAUCAUGUAAGUUAAAAACAUGCAAUAAAAGAUUAAUUAAUUGGAGUAGUUUGAACAACAAGUGGAAUAAAAGAAAGGAAAUUGUGAUAAAUAAUAGAAAAAGGAGAGUUAAUUUGACAAAAG